UUUUAUGGAGAGUUUGAUCCUGGCUCAGGACGAACGCUGGCGGCGUGCUUAACACAUGCAAGUCGAACGGUAAGGCCCCUUCGGGGGUACACGAGUGGCGAACGGGUGAGUAACACGUGGGUAAUCUGCCCUGCACUUCGGGAUAAGCCUGGGAAACUGGGUCUAAUACCGGAUAU
rnacentral:rRNA from 1 species